GAGUUUGAUCUUGGCUCAGAUUGAACGCUGGCGGCAUGCCUUACGCAUGCAAGUCGAACGGCAGCAUGAUCUAGCUUGCUAGAUUGAUGGCGAGUGGCGAACGGGUGAGUAAUACAUCGGAACGUGCCCUGUAGUGGGGGAUAACUAGUCGAAAGAUUAGCUAAUACCGCAUACGACCUGAGGGUGAAAGUGGGGGACCGCAAGGCCUCAUGCUAUAGGAGCGGCCGAUGUCUGAUUAGCUAGUUGGUGGGGUAAAGGCCCACCAAGGCGACGAUCAGUAGCUGGUCUGAGAGGACGAUCAGCCACACCGGGACUGAGACACGGCCCAGACUCCUACGGGAGGCAGCAGUGGGGAAUUUUGGACAAUGGGCGAAAGCCUGAUCCAGCAAUGCCGCGUGUGUG
rnacentral:rRNA from 1 species